UGGAAAGUGGAAACAUUCGGAUUCAACUUUUUUUUUUAUUUUCUUUCCUAAACGAAUAAAAGAAAAGAAAGAAAGAAAGAAAUUAAAACUCAGAUUCAAUUCAACUAAACAUUCAAAUCUUUUUUAAUUUAUAUUAUUUUCCUAAGAUAAUAAGUGCUAGCAGUUUUUAUUAAUAAAAAAAGAUAAGGAUGCAGCAAAAUAGUGGCUCGGAUUCACAACCGUCGCAGGAACAGAACCAACGGCAGCAACAACCUCCGCGAUCGCAGCCGCAGUGGGUGGCAAUGCAGUAUCCGGCUGCCGCUAUGGUAAUGCAGCAUCAAAUGAUGCAACCGCAGCACUUCGUGGCGUCGCCACUUCCACCUCAGCACUACAUGCCUUAUCACCACCUUCAUCUCAAUGGCCACGCGCAGCAAGGAUCCGGCGGAGGUAGCGGUGAGAACAAAACCGUUUGGGUUGGUGAUUUGUAUCAUUGGAUGGACGAGAACUAUCUUCAUAGCUGUUUCGCUUCCACUGGCGAGAUUGCAUCCAUUAAAGUCAUUCGCAAUAAGCAGACUGGUCUAUCAGAAGGAUAUGGAUUUGUGGAAUUCUUUUCGCAUGCAACAGCAGAGAAAGUUCUCCAAAGUUAUAGCAGCAUUUUGAUGCCUAAUACUGAUCAACCUUUCCGUCUGAACUGGGCAACUUUAAGCACGGGAGAGAAACGCUCAGAAAAUGGCCCUGAUCUUUCUAUUUUUGUAGGAGAUUUAGGUGCUGAUGUUACUGAUAGCCUAUUGCAUGAAACUUUUGCUAGUAAAUAUCCUUCUGUUAAAGCUGCAAGAGUCGUUAUUGUUGCUAAUACUGGUCGAUCAAAAGGUUAUGGUUUUGUGAGGUUUGGGGAUGAGACUGAGAGGUCACAAGCCAUGAAUGAAAUGAAUGGUGUAUAUUGUUCAAGCAGGCCGAUGCGCAUUGGUGCCGCGACUCCGAGGAAAUCCUCAGGGUAUCAGCAACAGUAUUCUUUGCAAGGUGGCUAUGCAUCAAAUGGUAACUCAACUCAAUCUGAUGGAGAUUCUUCAAACACAACCAUAUUUGUUGGAGGGCUUGACCCAAACGUCACUGAGGAAGAUCUCCGCCAAUCUUUCUCUCAGUAUGGUGAAAUAGUCUCUGUUAAAAUACCUGUUGGAAAAGGAUGUGGGUUUGUACAAUAUGCCAACAGGAAAAAUGCUGAGGAGGCAUUGCAAAAGUUGAACGGGAUGGUAAUUGGCAAGCAAACGGUGCGACUUUCCUGGGGUCGCAACCCGGCAAAUAAACAGUUUAGAGGUGAUUAUGGUAACCAGUGGGGUGGAGCUUAUUAUGGAGGACAAGUCUACGAUGGUUAUAGGUAUGCUGUGCCACCACCUCAUGACCCGGGCAUGUACGCAGCCGCAUAUGGGACAUAUCCCAUCUAUGGCAGUCAUCAGCAGCAAGUUAGUUGAAAUAAUGACAUCGGGGGAGAGAAGUUGUAGCUCUUAGUGAGUAGCUACUCAAAACUAAAGGGGGCCAACGGCAAACUAAAGCAGUAAAAGCUCUCUAGAUUUCUUUAGAAAUCUUUAUAUAAAUCCUCUCCAACUGUGGACCGGAACUGAAUUUUGACCCCUUAGAUAGUUUUUUGUAGGGAUUGGAAUAUAAAAGUUGAAUAUGGUAAAUAAGAAGUACCAAAGAUGGGGCUACUUGUCCGGUCUGAUUUUUCGUUGUAGAGAAGAUGAAGAUGGAACGAGAAGGAGCGAGAGACGAUUUUUUUUUUAAAUUUAAAUUUAAAUUUUAUUGAAUCUUAAUUUUAAAUAUUUUAUUUAAUUAAAAUCAUAUUUCAUAAUUUGAUUCGUGUAGAGGUUUUUUAAUAGAGUUAAUUGUUGGUACUUAAA